GGAAAGCAGCGUAGGCAAUUUUCCUAGCUCCUCACAUUCACCGUACGCCAGAGCCAGCCAAGACCAAGUUGGAUCCCCAAACUUCCUUCUCUGAUAGUCUCUACCCAAGUGCGUACCGAUGCCUGGGAGCCGCGUCAGCCGCUGGGAGGGCAGCCAGAAAUGUUGGCAGAAACACACCAGCAUUUAACAGGUUUUUCCCAGUGCUGCGGCUGUUGAUGGCAAAGAUUGAGAGAUUGGAAAUGCAGUAGGAAGGUUGUGAAGAUGCAGCAGGCACCGGACAGUGACAGCAGACUUGCAAACCAAGAGCAGCCUAGCUACAAGCAUGGGUGAUGGCUACUCUAAUCACCACCUGUACAGACCUUAGCCCAGGUCUUCCCAGCUGCUGAAACCUCUUCUUACCAGCCCUGCUGCCUGGCUGAGCAGGCAGCUCAGUGCAGGGGACCAAGCUGGAUGGCUGCCCCUUCACUCGCUCCUGCCAGAAACACGUGCUGCACCCCGGCACCCUUGAGCCAGCAUGCAGCCCCUGCCUGUGCACAAAGACCUGCCAACCCCCGCGCAGCCCCGGACGGGCAAGGGGUGAAAUAAGACUCUGUUAAGAAGAGACAGCACACCGCAGAGGGGAGGGCUGAUGGAGCCUGGGCAGCUAUGGGGGGACGGAUCCUGGCCGCCGAGGCAAUGGAGCUGCUAAGACCAGGCUGCGCCUCAAUGGGGCAGGUUAGUCCACACCAGUGCUACCAUAAUCCCCAUGCUGAACUGUGCAAGCCAUGAAUUAAACCCAGGAAAUAAUUAAACAUCAUCUACUUUAACAGCCGCUAGCAGGAAAAUAAAUAAGACAUCCCAACAGAGUAAGAUAGAGUAAUUUCACGUUUACGCUUCCAGGGGAAAAGGGAAUUUGAAACAAACAAACCAUCUUUUUUUUUUCCUGCAGAAAGAGAAAGUCAACUGCCUGUCAAAGCGGGACCGUAGCAACACCCAGGGCUCUGUGCAAAAUUCUUCUGUUUGCUUCUGCAUUUGAUUAGCUGCUUGCGUUAUG